ensembl:lncRNA
AUUGUUGUUGGUUAGACAAUUGUUACCCUGGAUUCAUCGUCCUCUGUAAAGGGCAAACUUCUUAAUGUAAAUGUAUUAAUAUAUUAUGUAUUGUAAUACAUUUAAUCGGACUGAGCAUAAGCUGUUUAAUUUACAGACCAUCUGGGCAUUUCCCCCAUGGAGCUCCUUGGCUCAGGGUAAGACUAAUGGCCCUCCCCUCUGGCUCCUCGCUGCCGCAGUGCCCUCGAGAAAAGCUCCUCUACUUUAAUCCAACAAGGCGACCCUGGCGGACUGUGAAUCAGGGAAAGUCAGGUCAACUGACAAGUGCCGCAGGGAAACAGGAGAGUAUAUAUGAGUUGGGUGAUGAGACAAUUGGAGGGUGCAGGAAUGGAGACCUCGUUGACAUUGAUCCUCUUCACAUGAGGAGAGGAAAGGAGCUAACAGGUCGACGCUUAUCUGAUGUCGGAGCAGAUUAUCUGAUUUCCUCGUCUUACUGCCCGGAAUCCUGCUGCUGCCGCUUUGCCUUUGCAGAGCUCACAUAUCUCAACGUGAUCUCUCAUUAUAAAUCAAUUUGAGGCUUUGUAUUUCUGUUUGUGUCUUUAGGAUGUUUAAGUAAAAGUAGAAGUACAGCCUCCACUUCACUGGCUACAGAGGAGUUAUAACUUUGCCCCUUAAGAGCAGUAAUGCUUUACCGUCUUGGACCAACCAUUUUGGGAUUAUUACAUGUUUCCCCUAUUUGUAACAAAUAACAUUACACACUUGUGGAAAUCAAAUAAAACAAUUUUCUCCAAGAAAGAUGAAGUUCCAUCUCAUUAAUGAGGUAAUGAUGUAUGCUAUGGGUCGGGAAGGGGGAGACGAUAAUGAUGAUAGUCAUUUAAUAUAUUUACUGGCUUGCCCUAGAUUACAUCUGCAAUUUAAUGGUUGAUUUAUAAUCUCAUGAUUCUGGAUUUUACAUCGGAGAUUCACAAAUGUGCGUCCCCAAUCCUUUUAUCAUCUCAUGUUUGCUGAGCCAGCAAAGUUUAUUGCCAAGUAGGAAAUAAAAAAAGAAUAUUUUGUCAUGAUUCAAUAUACAUAAAAAGGCUUUUGUCGGUUUUCAAAUGGUAACCCUUUUGUGCUUUUCGACCAGUGUUCAUCAUUACUGAGCCAUCGCUUGUACAGUGCGGUCUUUACAGGGCAGUCAAUGGUUAAAGAAAAACACACAGAAAAAACAAUAAUAAACACCAGCCUGUAUUAUUCCCUUUUUAUAGUGUACACGCA